GUGAACGCUGGCGGUAGGCCUAACACCUGCAAGUCGAACGGCAGCACAGUAAGAGCUUGCUCUUACGGGUGGCGAGUGGCGGACGGGUGAGGAAUACAUCGGAAUCUACUUUUUCGUGGGGGAUAACGUAGGGAAACUUACGCUAAUACCGCAUACGACCUACGGGUGAAAGCAGGGGAUCUUCGGACCUUGCGCGAUUGAAUGAGCCGAUGUCGGAUUAGCUAGUUGGCGGGGUAAAGGCCCACCAAGGCGACGAUCCGUAGCUGGUCUGAGAGGAUGAUCAGCCACACUGGAACUGAGACACGGUCCAGACUCCUACGGGAGGCAGCAGUGGGGAAUAUUGGACAAUGGGCGCAAGCCUGAUCCAGCCAUGCCGCGUGGGUGAAGAAGGCCUUCGGGUUGUAAAGCCCUUUUGUUGGGAAAGAAAAGCAGCAGGUUAAUACCCCGCUGUUCUGACGGUACCCAAAGAAUAAGCACCGGCUAACUUCGUG
rnacentral:rRNA from 1 species